UACGGGGGGGGCAAGCGUUGUUCGGAAUUACUGGGCGUAAAGGGCUCGUAGGCGGCCAACUAAGUCAGACGUGAAAUCCCUCGGCUUAACCGGGGAACUGCGUCUGAUACUGGAUGGCUUGAGUUUGGGAGAGGGAUGCUGAACUCCAGGUGUAGCGGUGAAAUGCGUAGAUAUCUGGAGGAACACCGGUGGCGAAGGCGGCAUCCUGGACCAACACUGACGCUGAGGAGCGAAAGCCAGGGGAGCAAACGGG
rnacentral:rRNA from 1 species